rnacentral:rRNA from 1 species
UGGCUAACUCCUACGGGAGGCAGCAGUAGGGAAUAUUGCGCAAUGGGGGAAACCCUGACGCAGCAACGCCGCGUGAGUGAGGAAGGUCUUCGGAUUGUAAAACUCUUUUAUUAGGGAAAAAUGUCCUUUCGGUUAAUACCCGAGAGGAGUGAUGGUACCUAAGGAAUAAGCACCGGCUAACUUCGUGCCAGCAGCCGCGGUAAUACGAAGGGUGCAAGCGUUGUUCGGAAUCAUUGGGCGUAAAGCGCGCGCAGGCGGAUUGAUAAGUCAGGUGUAAAAUCUCGAAGCUCAACUUCGAAACUGCGCCUGGAACUAUUAGUCUAGAAUGUCGGAGGGGGCAGGGGAAUUUCACGUGUAGGGGUAAAAUCCGUAGAGAUGUGAAGGAACACCGGAGGCGAAGGCGCCUGCCUGGACGACUAUUGACGCUGAGGCGCGAAAGCGUGGGGAGCAAACAGGAUUAGAAACCCCAGUAGUCCAGCUGG